CAGUAGCCGCGGUAACACAGAGGGUGCAAGCGUUAAUCGGAAUUACUGGGCGUAAAGCGCGCGUAGGUGGUUUGUUAAGUUGGAUGUGAAAUCCCCGGGCUCAACCUGGGAACUGCAUCCAAAACUGGCAAGCUAGAGUAUGGUAGAGGGUGGUGGAAUUUCCUGUGUAGCGGUGAAAUGCGUAGAUAUAGGAAGGAACACCAGUGGCGAAGGCGACCACCUGGACUGAUACUGACACUGAGGUGCGAAAGCGUGGGGAGCAAACAGGAUUAGAUACCCCUGUAGUCCCUGUCUCUUAUAA
rnacentral:rRNA from 1 species